rnacentral:misc_RNA from 1 species
UGUUGUUAGAUUAAGUCAAUGAAAUGAUUUUAUAAUAAUAUAAUUUAUUUUUAAUUAUAUGUAGAAAUAAAUUUUAUUGAAUGGUUUAAUUGACUUGGUUUAUGUAUAAUUAUAUGACCUGACAGACUAUCUUUUGCCUAACAAUUUCUCUUGUCGAGAAAUUCUGAAGUAAAAUACCCAAUUAAACCAAUUAAAAAUAGAUAGAAGAGAAUUUUAAAAAGCUUCGAAUUUCAAUGUUUUUCACCAUUAUUUUUUUCCCUUUCCCAUGUUUCUUUCUUGGACGCUCUUUCAAUCAAGUUUUUGUAUUCAUUUUUUUUGUCUUGCCAAGAAAGACCGCAGUUUAUGAGGCUUAAGGCCCUGUUUAGUUGGAGUAUAGGUCUUGGGAGUAAGAAGGUUAAGAAAGUAAAACUGAGAAGUGUAAAAUAUGUCUUAGUUUGAUUAUCAAACAACUUCCGGAAGUAGGACAUUAUACUUACAUAUGUAAGGAAUUGGUAAGUUGCACUCUCUUAGUUAACUGUAAUAUAAUUUAUGAAUUUGUUGAUUUUGAAUUAUUUUAUGGGUAUUAUUACCUUUUGCAAUUUAGAAAUAAACUACUUCCUGAGAAGCUAAUGCCAUAUGCUGAAUCAAAGGAAGUAUUUACUUUCUUGUAAGCUCAAAGGAGCAUUAAUGCCUUUUGCUUUAGUCAAUUUUAAAUUUUAUCAUUUUCAAUGUUGGAAAAUGGUGUUGAUUCAUUUUUGGUGUUUAAAUAUUAAUUAAUAUAUUAUUUUUAUCUUUUUUGAAGAAAAAUGCACCAUGGCUUUCAGUACCACAGUUUGGUAAUUGGGAUCAGAAGGGUGAAUUGCCAGAUUACUCACUGGAUUUCUCGAAAGUCAGAGAAAUGAGGAAGCAGAACAAGAGGGAUGUGUCAAGAGCCAGUCUUGGCAAUGAAGAAGACUUCAUUAACCCAACAGCCACCAAUGCGCAGGCUGCCCAUGGUAAUCACCACCACCACGAUCAUUACCAUCAAAGCCGCCA